rnacentral:rRNA from 1 species
GGGGGGGCAUAUCAUGCAAGUCGAGCGAGCUUGCCUAGAUGAUUUUAGUGCUUGCACUAAAUGAAACUAGAUACAAGCGAGCGGCGGACGGGUGAGUAACACGUGGGUAACCUGCCCAAGAGACUGGGAUAACACCUGGAAACAGAUGCUAAUACCGGAUAACAACACUAGACGCAUGUCUAGAGUUUGAAAGAUGGUUCUGCUAUCACUCUUGGAUGGACCUGCGGUGCAUUAGCUAGUUGGUAAGGUAACGGCUUACCAAGGCAAUGAUGCAUAGCCGAGUUGAGAGACUGAUCGGCCACAUUGGGACUGAGACACGGCCCAAACUCCUACGGGAGGCAGCAGUAGGGAAUCUUCCACAAUGGACGAAAGUCUGAUGGAGCAACGCCGCGUGAGUGAAGAAGGGUUUCGGCUCGUAAAGCUCUGUUGGUAGUGAAGAAUGAUAGAGGUAGUAACUGGCCUUUAUUUGACGGUAAUUACUUAGAAAGUCACGGCUAACUACGUGCCAGCAGCCGCGGUAAUACGUAGGUGGCAAGCGUUGUCCGGAUUUAUUGGGCGUAAAGCGAGUGCAGGCGGUUCAAUAAGUCUGAUGUGAAAGCCUUCGGCUCAACCGGAGAACUGCAUCAAAAACUGUUGAACUUGAGUGCAGAAGAAGAGAGUGGAACUCCAUGUGUAGCGGUGGGAUGCGUAGAUAUAUGGAAAAACACCAGUGGCGAAGGCGGCUCUCUGGUCUGCAACUGACGCUGAAGCUCCGAAGCAUGGGUAGCGAAAAAGAUUAGAUACCCUGGUAAUCCCUGCCGUAAAAAAUGAAUGUAAAUGGUUGGGAAGUUUCCGCUUUCCGUUGUGGCGCUAAGCAUUAACCACUCCGCCUGGGGAAUACAACAGCAAGGUUGAAACCCAAAGGAUUGAAGGGGGCCCGCAAAAACCGUGGAACAUGGGGGUUAAUUCAA